rnacentral:lncRNA from 1 species
GUGCUGAAUCUGAUGGAUCAAUUCAUGGAGGACCCGUUUCUGGCAGCAUCACGAGGAGUAGGAGCAGGUUCAAGGAGGGGCUGGGACGUGAAAGAAGACGACAACGCUCUAUAUCUCCGAAUGGACAUGCCAGGACUGAGCAAAGAUGAUGUGAGGGUGAGUGUGGAGCAGAACACACUGAUCAUCAAAGGAGAGGGAGCGAAAGAAUCUGAAGACGAAGAAGAUCGUAGACGAUUCUCGAGCAGACUGGACUUGCCUGCGAAUCUGUACGAACUGAAUUCAAUAAAAGCAGAGAUGAAGAAUGGGGUGCUGAAAGUGGCAGUGCCAAAAGUGAAGGAAGAAGAAAGGAAGGAUGUGAGGCAUGUUACUGUUGAGUGAGUAGUUUGGCCCCUCGAAACUAGAAAAUUAUGAAGAGCUUCUUCUUUCUCCUCUAGGUUUAACUACUUUGAUGCUUUGGGUGGUUGUUGUGUCUGCAUGUGAAUAAGAUAUGAGGAUUUCAGAGUUGUUUUGAUAAUGUCCUGAAAGUUGUUUGAAGAGUUGAGAAGGUCUUCUGAAAUGAAAUGUAUGAGUAAACUUUCUUUGAAUUGAACCAAUGCAUUCUUAGUACUCUUUUAAGCCAUUGAAAGACUUAACUAAAAUGGGUUGAAAGGAGUUUGUCUUGUGUAGUAGUGGCAACCAUGAAUAGGAGGUUUAAAGCUGCUUUAUACGCUAUAUGUGGGCAUUUUAAUCUUUUAGGUACAUUUAAAUUCUAUUACAUUUGUGAAUUAUUUGGGUUAUAAAUUUUUCAGAUUACAUUAAAUUAUUGGGUGAACUUGUUUAGGUAGGCAUUUGAUCAAGGAAAGGAAAAGAUUAAGGUUGAAGAUUGCGUGUGAGGUUUUAGAGGGGAGUUGGGGCGCGUUGGACUAACUGGGCAUCGACUUAUUCUAAAAUUUGUAUUUAAUUUUUCAUUAAUAAAAUAUGAUUGCAAAAUUGUAUCUCAAUCAUAUUUUAUUAUUGAAAAUAAAUUAUUAGUGAUGUUGGAAACUUUUAAUCUUCCAAUGCCAUUCAAACAUGAAGUUAAAUACUUAACUGUGCUAUUAUUUUAAAUGAACUUGAACGUUAUGUGCUAUUAUUUUAAAUAAAUUUGAAUGUUAUGUAUAUAUCAAAUUUGGGUCUACAUUUUAAAUAAACUUGGACGUCUCUGUAAGUGUUUGGAAUCAAAGUUAUGUCUAUAAUUUUGAGCAUAUUGUUAUAUGUUAGAAUAUAUAGUCUAAAAUAAUUUAUAGUAUAUAAAUAAAAAUUGUUUUAUAUUUAGAUUCAUUUAACAUGUAUUCGAUUAUAUUCGAAAACACUAAAGUAAAUAUAUAGUCUAAAUAAUCUAAUAUAUAAAUAAAAAUUGUUUUAUAUUUUGAAUUCAUUUAACAUUGUUUUAUAUUUGAUUAUAUUCGAAAACAGUAAAGUAAAGAUAUUCUAUCUAAAUGUUUAGAUAUGAAAUUUCUAAAACGUUUUAAUUUCUAAACAACGUUUUAAUAUCUAAAUGUUUAGACAUGAAAGUAAAAUAUAUUUUAAUAUUUAAAUGUCUAGACAUGAAUUUCAUGUAAUCGUUUUAAUAUCUAAAUGUUUAGACAUAAAAGUUAAAUAAAAGUGUUUUAGUAUCUAAAUGUUUAGACAUAAAAAUUAAAUAUAGAUAUUUUUAAUAUUUAAAUGUUUAGACAGUUUUAAUAUCUAGAUAUUUAGACAUAAAAGUUAAAUAUAAGUGUUUUAAUAUCUAAAUGUUUAUACAUAAAAGUUAAAUAUAAAUGUUUAGAAUAAGUUAGGCAUUUCUAAAGUUAAAUUUAUUAAAUAACUUUUUUAAAAGAUAAUUAAACUGAAAUUUAUUAAAUAACAUUUCUAAAAGAUAAUUAGACUGGCAUAUAAAAGGUAGAACAUGUUCUUUUUAUAGUUUCUAUUAUUGAUCCAAUUUGCAAAAGAAAAAUAACUAAAGAAUUAGUUCUAACAUGCAUGGAUUGUUGUUAAUUUAGUGUAUUAUUAAAAAAUUAUUUAUAAAAAUUAUAUUUAUUUGUUUAAAUAGUUUUUGUGAAUUUAAAUCUCUAAUGAUGAGAAUUUGGUUUCGUAGAAUUUAAAAUCUGACCUUUUUCGUUCACGUUAAUAUUUUAAAUGUUGGAUUAUUACAAAUUUGUUGGAGAGAAAUAAAUAAAAUAAAUGUCGUGGAAAAAGGUGGCAACGUUGUAGAAAGAAUCACUAUUACUAGAAUCUUCUUCGCCCUUCCCCACGCUUCUACUUCUUCUAUAAAACCUCUACGUUUCUCUCUUAAACCCCAAUUCUUACACUCACCGAUUCACUCCCUCACCUAUUCCAGCUUCAACUUUUCCAUAUCUCUCCAUCAAUGGCUUCUUCCAUUGCUCUCCGAGCGCUUACCGCUUUCUCCGCACCUAAACUCAUCAAUCCUGUUCGCUCCGCCUCUAUUCUCCCUUCCUCUGUUCCUCGUUCCUUCAACACCAAUGCUCAGAUGACCAACUACGACCAUGAUGAUCGUUCUGUUGAAGUGGACCGCCGCUCUGACCGCUCCCUCUCUCGUUCUCGGGAUCCUUAUUCUGGUUUCGGAGGUAGUUGUUAUCUUCGUCCAUGCUUCACUUUUGUUCUCGUGGUUUCUUCGUUGAUUCUCAUGUUUCUGAAUUGUUCUGCAACUUUCAAUUAGUUUUUGUGUUUGAUUUUUUUUUUUUUUUUUUUUUGAGUUAUUUCGUUUCGGUUUGUGGAAAUGGCUCUUGGAUCCUCUGGUGGAAAUGAAUGUUUGAGUUUGUAUGUGUUGAUUUAUAUGGAAUAAAUCUCUAUUUCUUUUAUAAUUUAGUAGAGUACAAACCUAUAUACAACCAAAGGGAAAUAGGAAAUAGUAUCAGAAUAAUAAUUAUUCUAAUUACGUUAAUAAUAUGUCUUAUUGUUAGUUUUUGUGGAAUGUUGCGAUGAUAUUGUCUAUGAGCUUUGACGAUUCUGUUCGGCGAAUCUCGGCAUGAUUUUUUGUAAUUGAUUGGAGAUAAGUGAAAAUUUGUGUUAGCUGUUGUUGGUGGAUGUUGAGCUGAUCGGUCUUUUCGAUCUUGUAGCUAUGGAACUGUCUAAGUUGAGAGUGAACUUGCGUGUUUGUUGUUUUGAUCACUCUGUUUACGAGUCUUUGGCAUAAAAUCUUUGGAACUCGUCAUGAUUUUGUGAGGAUUUUGUUUAGGAAUAUAUGCUUGAUGAAUGAUCUCUUUGAGGAAUCUAGUUCAUUCGUCAAUUGGAUCACAUUCCAAGUCUUGUUAUCUGGUUCAUUGAGGAUCCUUGAUCUGAUCUGGAAAUCACGCCGUUGUAGUCAUUAGUUCGUUGUGGUUUAGAGGGAAAUUUUGAUUGUUGUUUGUUAAUGCCGGAUGCUUGCGCUGAACAGUGUUUGUUUGUCAAUUUACAGAUGUGUUCGAUCCAUUCUCUCAGACUAGGAGCCUAAGCCAGGUGCUGAAUCUGAUGGACCAGUUCAUGGAGGAUCCGUUUCUGGCAGCAUCACGAGGAGUAGGAGCAGGAUCAAGGAGGGGGUGGGACGUGAAGGAAGACGACAACUGUCUAUAUCUUCGUAUGGACAUGCCAGGACUGGGCAAAGAUGAUGUGAAGGUGAGUGUGGAGCAGAACACACUGAUCAUCAAAGGAGAGGCAGAGAAAGAAUCCGAAGAUGAAGAAGACCUUAGACGAUUCUCGAGCCGACUGGACUUGCCUGCGAAUCUGUACGAGCUGAAUUCAAUCAAAGCAGAGAUGAAGAAUGGGGUGCUGAAAGUGGCAGUGCCAAAGGUGAAGGAAGAAGAAAGGAAGGAUGUGAGGCAUGUUACUGUUGAGUAGUUGUUUGGAAAAUGAAAAUGAUGCCCUUACUUUGUUUUUCUUACACUUGAAUGUACAGCCUUUCUUG